GACGAACGCUGGCGGCGUGCUUAACACAUGCAAGUCGAACGGAAAGGCCCUGCUUUUGUGGGGUGCUCGAGUGGCGAACGGGUGAGUAACACGUGAGUAACCUGCCCUUGACUUUGGGAUAACUUCAGGAAACUGGGGCUAAUACCGGAUAGGAGCUCCUGCUGCAUGGUGGGGGUUGGAAAGUUUCGGCGGUUGGGGAUGGACUCGCGGCUUAUCAGCUUGUUGGUGGGGUAGUGGCUUACCAAGGCUUUGACGGGUAGCCGGCCUGAGAGGGUGACCGGCCACAUUGGGACUGAGAGACGGCCCAGACUCCUACGGGAGGCAGCAGUGGGGAAUAUUGCACAAUGGGCGGAAGCAUGAUGCAGCAACGCCGCGUGCGGGAUGACGGCCUUCGGGUUGUAAACCGCUUUCGCCUGUGACGAAGCGUGAGUGAGGGUAAUGGGUAAAGAAGCACCGGCUAAGUACGUG
rnacentral:rRNA from 1 species